GGCCCCAUCGUCUAGCGGUUCAGGACGCUGGCCUCUCACGCCGGAAGCAGGGGUUCGAUUCCCCUUGGGGUCACCA
rnacentral:tRNA from 1 species